rnacentral:tRNA from 1 species
UAGAAAAAUAAGCUAAAAAUAAGCUAUUGGAUUCAUAAUUCAAUUAUAGAAACAAUCUUUUUUCU